rnacentral:ncRNA from 10 species
GGCACUCUUCCGUGGUCUGGUGGAUAAAUUCGCAAGGGUAUCAUGGCGUGGACGACCGGGGUUCGAACCCCGGAUCCGUGAUCCAUGCGGUUACCGUCCGCCGCCCGUGCGUCGAACCCAGGUGUGCGACGUCAGACAACGGGGGAGCGCUCCUU